UUUAGGAGGUGGUUCCCAAUUUGACAUAUAAUAAGUUAAACCACGCCAAGAAACAAAGGCGAAUGUAACUUCAGAAAUUGCCUUCAGUUGAUGUUUUUUUGUUUUAUAUUUUGCCGUUCGAGCAUUCUUUCCACUUCUAUAUUGAACAUCCCAAACCUUAUCGAUUAUUGUAUACGAUACUGGAAUAAUGGGCUUAGUUGCGUCGUAUGAGGCAUUCUCCAAACCAUCGAAAUUUUUCUUUUUAGCUAAUGAAAUACCGGCUAGCCAUGAAGCAGAACACCAAAAACAGUGAAGGUAAGACUUACCUUUGCUUCGAACGAAAUACUCUCUAGACCAAAAGCUCAAGUCCGAUGUACUAACAAAAUUAUUUGAAAGGGUAGCUUUUGAAGGAUAUAAACUGUUUAGAGUUCUCCAAGCAAUUAUCUCUUCAAUAUCACAAGGAUGCAUAGAACAUUCAUUACAAACAAGUUUUUUUAUAAAAUGAGUAAUUGUUCUCUGAAUAGACAAAGGAUUACUGUCCAGAUAAAAAAAAUAUUCGACACGCCUACAUCGAAAACACCGAAACCUUAUAGACUUGCAGUAAUUGACUAAAAUUGACAGAGAUUCCCUAUCAGCAAGGGAUGGGGGGAUAACUAGAUCCUGUCCAGAAGAAACGCCUGAAACAAACCCGGUAUUACACAAAACGUCCUUAGAGUUUUUGGAACAUAAAGGACAUAUAAAACCAUUUUGCUGAGAGUAAUUACGCGUUUCUUUAUUUAAAGAAGGGAGUGGAGAACAGUCAUAGUGGUAUACAUUUGAGCAAUGAUCACAGUAAACAAAAUUUUUACCAGAGGAACGAUGUUCACGUCCAUGACAUUUGACACAUACACAGACGUGUAAAAAUUUGAUAAAAUCAAAUCCGUCAGAGUAAAGAAGUGAGAAAUAAGGAGCUUUAUUAUCGUUUUCUGUGGACUCAAUUUCCGAAGAACUUAGAUCGGAGCUACCAAAGUCGGACGUGUCAUUGAAAGAUAAAUGCGACAACGAUAACUCAUUAUGCUCUUUUCUAUUAACCUUCUUAUUUGUAUCAGAUGAAGAUGAAGUUGCACUGUCAGAAGCCGUUUCAUCACUGACAAAUGAAGGAUUAAGUGCGCAGUGAAAUUCCUUUCCGAACUUAAAUUUCUUGGUACGUGUUGAGUCCCUUAAGACUUUACUACCAUUAGACUUCAGUAAAUAAUCAUUUUUCUCUUCCUCAUCCUUAUCGGUUGAAGUCAUAUACCCAUGGUACCUCUUUCGAGAUUUGUGUUUUAACCAUACUCUUAAACAAGCUUUUCCAUUUUUAUAUUUAUCAAGUUCAUCUUUUUUUAUCAAUGCUUCAACACCCGCCAAGAAUUUAACACUCAGUGUGCUGUCAUUUUCGUGCAGUAUUUUUUGAACGGUGGUUUCAGACGCGUCAUAAUAAGGUAGUAAAACAUCAAGCGGUUCACGACGUACUACUAUUUUACAUAAAGAAUCAUCUUCUUUUGGCAUGCUUUGAGAUGAAUAUCUAAAUAUUC